AACGCUGGCGGCGCGCUUAACACAUGCAAGUCGAGCGAGAACCAGGGCUUCGGCCCUGGGGACAGCGGCGAACGGGUGAGUAACACGUGGGUAAUCUGCCCUCGACUCUGGGAUAGCCCGGGGAAACCCGGAUUAAUACCGGGUAGCCUCUCGAGCUCUCGGGCUCGCGAGAAAAGGUAGCUUCGGCCUCCGAUCGAGGAUGAGCCCGCGGCGGAUUAGCUUGUUGGCGGGGUAAUGGCCCACCAAGGCGACGAUCCGUAGCUGGUCUGAGGGGACGAGCAGCCACACUGGCACUGAGACACGGCCCAGACUCCUACGGGAGGCAGCAGUGGGGAAUCUUGCGCAAUGGGCGAAAGCCUGACGCAGCGACGCCGCGUGGGGGAAGAAGGCCUUCGGGUUGUAAACCUCUUUCAGGAGGGACGAAGCCACUCGGGUUAAUAGCCCAGAGGGUGACGGUACCUCCAGAAGAAGCCCCGGCUAACUACGUGCCAGCCGCCGCGGUAAGAC
rnacentral:rRNA from 1 species